rnacentral:rRNA from 1 species
UACGGAGGAUGCAAGCGUUAUCCGGAAUGAUUGGGCGUAAAGCGUCUGUAGGUGGCUUUUUAAGUCCGCCGUCAAAUCCCAGGGCUCAACCCUGGACAGGCGGUGGAAACUACCAAGCUGGAGUACGGUAGGGGCAGAGGGAAUUUCCGGUGGAGCGGUGAAAUGCGUAGAGAUCGGAAAGAACACCAACGGCGAAAGCACUCCGCUGGGCUGAUACUGACACUGACAGACGAAAGCUAGGGUAGCGAAAGGG